rnacentral:misc_RNA from 1 species
AAGGAUACCUUUUUAACUGUAUUAGCUGAACCAGCCAUUAGCUUCUUCCCAACAGCAGUUGAACCAGUAAAUGUAAGUUUCCUUACCUGUGUGCUCUCCAUUAAAGCAUCACCAAUCUCCGGAGCAUUGCCCAUUACCACAUUCAGUACACCUGGAGGUAUUCCAGCUUGAAGAGCAAGCUCAGCUGCAGCUAAAGCAGUCAAGGGGGUGUAUUCUGAAGGUUUAACCACCACCGUACAGCCACAAGCCAAAGCAGGGCCAACCUUCCGUGUAAU